rnacentral:lncRNA from 1 species
UAAUCAAAUUCAAUCAAAAUUUCAAAAGAAUUAUAUAAGAAGCUCAAAAUAUUCUUAGAAAUUCUUUAAAGAAUAAAAAAGUAAUAAUAUAGAAAUUUAAAAAUAUACUAAAAUAGAAACCUUAAUAAAAUAUUAAAAUAGAAACUUUAAUUAAAUUCUAAUCAAAACCUAAUCAAAUUUUAGUCAAAUCUUAGUCAAAUCCUAAUUAAAUCCUAAAAAAAUAUUAAUCAAAUUCUAAUCAAAUCCUAAAUAAAUCCUAAUCAAAUUCUAGUCAAAUCCUAAACAAAUCUCAACCAAAUCCUAAAAGAAUCCUAAAAAAAUCCUAAUGAAACCUUAAACAAAUCCUAGUCAAAUCUUAAAUAAAUCCUAA